rnacentral:rRNA from 1 species
GAGUGAACGCUGGCGGUAGGCCUAACACAUGCAAGUCGAACGGCAGCACAGUAAGAGCUUGCUCUUAUGGGUGGCGAGUGGCGGACGGGUGAGGAAUACAUCGGAAUCUACCUUUUCGUGGGGGAUAACGUAGGGAAACUUACGCUAAUACCGCAUACGACCUUCGGGUGAAAGCAGGGGACCUUCGGGCCUUGCGCGGAUAGAUGAGCCGAUGUCGGAUUAGCUAGUUGGCGGGGUAAAGGCCCACCAAGGCGACGAUCCGUAGCUGGUCUGAGAGGAUGAUCAGCCACACUGGAACUGAGACACGGUCCAGACUCCUACGGGAGGCAGCAGUGGGGAAUAUUGGACAAUGGGCGCAAGCCUGAUCCAGCCAUACCGCGUGGGUGAAGAAGGCCUUCGGGUUGUAAAGCCCUUUUGUUGGGAAAGAAAAGCAAUCGGCUAAUACCCGGUUGUUCUGACGGUAC